GUAAUCCACUGGGGUACGCUUCCGCGCUGUGGAGAGUAUGUUCUUUUGCUCUUCACAGUAAAUCUUGCUAAUGCUCACUUUUUGGGUCCACACUACUUUUAUGAACUGUAACACUCACUGCGAAGGUCUUUAGCUUAACUCCUGAAGCCAGCAAGACCACGAAUCCUCUGGGAGGCAUGAACAACUCCUGACCCGCCACCUUAAAGAGCUGUAACACUCACUGUGAAGGUCUGCGGCUUCACUCCUGAAGUCAGCGAGACCACGAACGCACCAGAAGGAAGAAACUCCCCACACAUGUGAACAUCUGAAGGAACAAACUCCCGACACUCCAUCUUCAAGAACUGUAACACUCACCGUGAGGGUCUGCAGCUUCAUUCUUGAAGUCAGCAAGACCAAGAACCCACCAGAAGAAACCAAUUCCGGCCACAGUGUCUCCUUGGCUUACUGUGGAAAAACUCAAGGGGAGAUUAUUCUCUGAAAAAUCUUACCAGGUUGUCUGCAUACCUCAUUCUUCCUGGAUACGGGACAAGAACUCAGUACCCACUAAAUGGCAAGACUAAAACAGCUGUAACACAAACAGUACUGAAACACACCCACCCGUUUGCCAUUUUGUGGGUGACGAAAAGGAGAGAAGUCCUGCAGCCUAUGUCUGGGAACCCAGACCUCAGGGCUCUUUAAGCCAGGACUGUGACAUGCUGUAACAACCUCUUUGAGGCUCUGCAGUUUCUGGGAUCUCCAAGAUUUCGGGCGCCACUGCAUUCCCCUUGUCCAGAUGUUGGUGCCCACAGCAGAAGUCACCUGCAGUACAUCUGGUACAGCUGCAGCCUUGCAUGGAGUUGGCACCUGUGCCAGCACCUGGAGCUGCCUGUCCAUCACAGCUGGCAUGCCUGGCUGUGCACAGUGGCCAGGCCCCACGCUUACCUGCUCACACACCCCUCACUGCUUCAUGCCUAGCUCACACUUGGCAGGUGUGGGAUCCAGGCUGGUAGCAGGAGCUGAGUGCAUCAUGCUAGGCUGAUUGGACAGAACAAGCCCAGUAGGCCUGAGCAAAACUUGGGCAAAGACGCCACCGGCCAUAGAGGUUUCUGGCUGGAAACCAGUGAC
rnacentral:lncRNA from 1 species